CCUACGGGCGGCAGCAGUAGGGAAUCUACGGCAAUGGACGAAAGUCUGACCGAGCAACGCCGCGUGAGUGAAGAAGGUUUUCGGAUCGUAAAACUCUGUUGUUAGAGAAGAACAAGUAGGAGAGUAACUGCUCUUACCUUGACGGUAUCUAACCAGAAAGCCACGGCUAACUACGUGCCAGCGGCCGCGGUAAUACGUUGGUGGCAAGCGUUGUCCGGAUUUAUUGGGCGUAAAGCGAGCGCAGGCGGUCUUUUAAGUCUGAUGUGAAAGCCCUCGGCUCAACCGAGGAAGGUCAUUGGAAACUGGAGGACUUGAGUGCAGAAGAGGAGAGUGGAAUUCCAUGUGUAGCGGUGAAAUGCGUAGAUAUAUGGAGGAACACCAGUGGCGAAGGCGACUCUCUGGUCUGUAACUGACGCUAAGGCUCGAAAGCGUGGGGAGCAAACAGGAUUAGAUACCCUAGUAGUC
rnacentral:rRNA from 1 species